GGUCCAAAGCAGCUGAUUUUUAAGCUUUCAGGAACUCAGGAAGACAAUCAGCAUGGCUUCCUGUGAAGAUGUCACCAAUGAUGGAGCAAUGGGGCUGAAAGCUAUAGGCAACCAGGACUAUGGCCAUCACGAGAGGCUGGGAUGAGCCAGGCAGGAACAGUCUGAGUCCCAGAGGAGACCAGAAGCACAGUGAUGACAAGCUUCUGGCACCAAAGCUUGGAGGGGGCACUUUUGUCAUUUCAGCCCUGGGAUACUGAAGACCGAGGAUCCUGCUCUCUGAACUCCCGCUCAUCUCCACCCCUCCCCUACCCUCCCCUCUCCCACCCCUCUAAUCCCUUUCCCUAUGGAGGCCUUGGGCCAAAUGGGGCUGUGUUCAUCACCUAUCCCCAUCCCCAUCGUGUGCAGGCCAAGACGGCGGCGCUAUCCGUGGCAUAGCACCUGGUACCUCUGCAGCCGAGCUCACAGUAUGAAGAAGUGAGGAAACCCUGGGCCUCCUCAGGCACAUGGACCAGCAGGGGAAGGCGGGACAGAACAUACAG
rnacentral:lncRNA from 1 species